AAAAAUUCAAUUUCAGAUAUUUUGAAUCGAACCAGUGGAAUCGAACCGGAUCGGGUCGGAUCGGCCCUUCCCUUUUUCUUUUCUCUUCCUGCGUUGCGCGACCCUCUCCCCUUCUCUCUUCGUUUUCUUUCUCCUCCCUCCGCCUCUCGCCGGCAAGCCUCCAGGCCGCCGGAAAAGUCGCGCGAAAUCCACCCAAAACGCGAGUGCCGUUUCGCCUUCCCAGCCAAAAUCCAGCAGAUCCGGCCAUCGAUCGGACCGGGUCUUGUGUCAAAACCCAUCUA
rnacentral:misc_RNA from 1 species